rnacentral:lncRNA from 1 species
AACCCCACUGUCCACGAUCUUCCUAACAGCAAAUACCUUCCCAAGAAUUACAACCCUGUUUCUUAUGUGACUGUCCCUGAGGACAACACUAAUGAAAAUGAUUUGAACAACAAUGAGUUUACAACCAAGCACACUACCACCACCACUGCCUCUAAUAACAACCAAUUCUACAGUGGUCCCACCACUUACGGCAACAACAACAACCAACAGUACUAUAAUGGCGUCAGCGAUUAUAGUACUAAGCGCAACAACCAGCAGCAGCAGCAACAGUUCUACAGCGGCGACAACUUUUACAGUAACAACCAGCAGCAGCAGCAGUACUACAACGGUGGCAACUCUUACAACAAUAACAACGACAACAACAACAAUGAAGAGGAGGAGGAGUACUACAACAACAAUGGUGGUAACACUUACUACAACAACAACGAGCAACAGGAGUUGAGCGAAACAAGAUUAAGUGCCAGAACUUACAGCACCAACCCAACAAAUUACGGAAACAAUUACAACAACAACAAUCAAGAACAGAGCUACUCCACCAACUACAAUAACUACAACACUGGCAAAAGUAAUUACAGGGUGCACCAGCAGCAGGGGAUGAGUGACACA